rnacentral:rRNA from 1 species
GGCUUUGACCAUAUCGGCUUAUAAAGUCUGAUCUCAUCAGAUCUCAGAAGCUAAGCAAGUCCGGGCCUGGUUAGUACUUGGAUAGGACACCCCUGGGAAUACAAGGUGCCACCC